ensembl:lncRNA
CGUUUUCCAUCGUAACUUCUCCUCUUUGACCUUUUAUUACCAUUCUAUGUAUCCCACAGAAUUCUACCUUCAUAAGAUAUCUGCUUGAUGGUCUGGCCCUCCUUGAAGCCCAGGUCCAAUUUGGGUCUUUGGUCUGGGUUCUGGGCUUGUUUUGCAAAUUCGCACUGCUGUUUCACCCACUUGAAACGAUCCUGCAAUGCAACAUGGAAGUUAAAGGCAUCACCUCGGUCCUCGAAGCCAAUUCCAUUAAAUGCCCGUCGCCCGUUUCCAUCUUCAAUGCGGAUCUCGAAGUACCUGCUGGAAUCCGUUAGGCUCUCCACAGCUGUACCAGGAAACUGAUCCACUGGGGCCUGAGCAAAGAGCUCCCCUGAGGUCCUGUCCUCCAGCUUGAUAUAGGCCAUCUGCCCCUUUGCAGUGAUCCUCAGCUGGCCACUCCAUGACGGCUGAUCCAGCUGCCACUCCGUGGCCCCAUAGCCAUGAUUGGUAGCCUGCGGAGGGAUGCGGUAGACGUGGACGUCAGGCUUGACACACAGCACCGACUGGUACCCGCUCUCCUCCAUCUCGACACCUGGAGCCCGCCUAGAGUUACUUAAUUGAAGUUUCUAUGGAGCUAAUGUUCUGUGCUGUUCCUUUGUACCCAGAGGAUUUUAUGCCUCAGGGACAGUGUAUCAUGUCCAGGGUGACAAGUGUGACUUUCUUUUGUAAGUGAGCAAGGGGAACAGUGCAAGAGAAGGUGAAAAGGGUGAGUAGCCUUUUACCUUGACCAUAGGCAGAUGCAAUUUAGGAAGAAAUACCUGUAGAAGUUGAAGAUACAAAAAUUGGUUCUUUGCCCACAAAAUAUGUAAAAAGUAUAUGUGUCCCUCCAAGGGCAAAUGUAAACAAGUUGAUAAUUGUCCUAUAGUAUAAGGUAAAAAAAAAUUUAGUGUGAUUUAUCAGAAGCGAACAUUUGUAGAAUAUUGAGAUGAAUUUUAGAAUGUUUGAAAUUGACAAAAGAUCUUGCAAUUUCAUGACAUCCUGGAAUGGCUUAUAUUAGACUGUGGAAGAUUUCCCACAACAGGCCUAUAUACAUCAGUGCCUGUGCUUAAGCAGAAAUGAAGAUGCAGACAUCACAAGCUAUAGUGUUCUAAGGUAAACUCUUCUCCAGACUUGUUUUAAAUUCAUUUAAAUAUAAUGGAAAUAGAUAACAAAUUUGUUAAAAUCAAUCACAUAACUGAAGCUUUCUUUUUGAGGAUACUGUAGUAAGGAACAAAUUGUCAGUGAUCUGUAAGAAAUUCAACCUAUCUCUGUCCCUUUGUGCAAAUGUAUCAAAUUCCUCUGUGAUGAAUAUAGCUAGAGGUCUCCUGGAGACCCUCAUCAGCAUAAAGUAAUGAAAAAAAAGUUGAGUUAUUAAACUCUUCUCAAUUCCCUAACAUCUCUUGUCUAAUCUAUGAGGAUGGAUUUAGAAAUAUGGUUUGUGGAGAUUUAUACAAAUGAAGUCACAUUUGCAUAGUAUUACUGGCCUCUUCUGUCUCUCCAUAUGAUAAGGAAUGCUUUAAAAAUUCAUUUCUUGCCAAUUGACAUAUUCAUACCAAUAGGUGCCAAAGUGCUUUCUUUACUGAAUUAACAUUAAACAUGCUUGGAGAAAGAGUUACACACCAAAAAAUAAUUCUGCUCCUUACAGUGAAAUUGCACUAAAAUUGGGCACAAACACUUCAAAUAGAAUGUGGAACAUGCUGUACUAUUUCAAGGACACUGACUUGACAGAUCAAUUUAUUUAGCAGCUAUUUAUUGUGCACUUAUUCUAAGACACUUUUGUACAUGCCUCAUGUGUUCAAAUUCAGAAGGGCU